AUUGAACGCUGGCGGCCGGCUUAACACAUGCCAGUCGAGCGCGCGGCGGACGGGUGAGUAAUGUCUGGGAACCUGCCUGAUGGCGGGGGAUAACUACUGGAAACGGUAGCUAAUACCGCAUACCAUCAGAUGUGCCCAGAUGGGAUUAGCUAGUAGGUGGGGUAAUGGCUCACCUAGGCGACGAUCCCUAGCUGGUCUGAGAGGCUUACCAGCCACACUGGAACGGAGACACGGUCCAGACGUCUACGGGAGGCAGCAGUGGGGAAGAGUGCACAAGGGGCGCAAGCCUGAUGCAGCCAUGCCGCGGGUGUGAAGAAGGCCUUCGGGUUGGAAAGCACGUUCAGCGAGGAGGCGUUACUCGCAGAAGAAGCACCGGCUAACUCCGUGCCAGCAGCCGCGGUAAUUC
rnacentral:rRNA from 1 species